CCCCCCCCCCCGCACCACCAACUUUCUACUGAAAAAAGGGGGCCUCCCGAGGGAUGCGCAAAGAAGGCUUUUCGAAGGUAAGGACACGACAGCCAACACCUAGUGGAAGGAGUGUACCCUCAGGGCUCUGGGUCCAGCAGAGAAACCAAGAGCUCUGCAGAAACACACCCCGUGGUUUUCUUGGGAGGUGCCCUGGCCUUGAUGAGCGGCUCCACCAUGAACUUCUGCAACUGUCAUCCGCUAGGCAUGGAGCCCAGGGACAGUGUGGCGGCCUUGAGGCCUGGACUGCCAUCCUGGGGCAUAACGGGGGCGUGGGGAGGGUGCUCUGCCCUCAAGCCAGCUGAGGUCAGUAACCCCCUCAUCUGCUUCCUUCUUCUACCUCGCUGCUCAUACGGCAACGGCAGACCGCACCACCCAGCAACGAGAUUCAAGGUUUGGUUCGAGGACCUCGGGAACACUUCGGCCUGGCUCUCGUCUGCUGCUACGCUACUCACACAAACAAGGUCCACGACUAGGACAAACUAUGGAUGUCUCUGCAUGAAUGACCUUUUCAAAGAAUCUUUGAGAGAGAAGCAAAGGUUAGGCAAAGGUUAGGCUGAAGACCCCACGGAGAGGCAGGUUUUAUUGUCAAGGUACCAGAACUUUCUGCCAGGCUGGUGAGCGGGCACUCAGACACCUCGGUCAUCUAUUGGUCACCGUGGUCUUAAAAGGUACGUAUAGAAAUAGAGUUCAAAUGGUCAGAACUUCAAAACUGUUCUCGAGUUUUUGUUUUUCAAGUAAUAAAAAAGUUGUUUAAAAUCA